UACGGAGGGGGCUAGCGUUGUUCGGAAUUACUGGGCGUAAAGCGCACGUAGGCGGCUUUGUAAGUUAGAGGUGAAAGCCCAGGGCUUAACCCUGGAAUUGCCUUUAAGACUGCAUCGCUAGAAUUGUGGAGAGGUAAGUGGAAUUCCGAGUGUAGAGGUGAAAUUCGUAGAUAUUCGGAAGAACACCAGUGGCGAAGGCGACUUACUGGACACAU
rnacentral:rRNA from 1 species